rnacentral:rRNA from 1 species
GACGAACGCUGGCGGCGUGCUUAACACAUGCAAGUCGAACGCUGAAGCUCAGCUUUUGUUGGGUGGUUGAGUGGCGAACGGGUGAGUAACACGUGAGUAACCUGCCCCCUUCUUUGGGAUAACGCCCGGAAACGGGUGCUAAUACUGGAUAUUCACUGCUCUUCGCAUGGGGGGUGGGGGAAAGGGCUUUUGUGGGGGGGGAUGUACUGGCGUCCUAUCAUCUUGUUGGUGGGGUGGUUGCUUACCAAGUCUUUGGCGGGUAGCCGGGCUGAGGGGGUGACCGGCAACAUUGGGACUGAGAUACGGCCCAGACUCGUACGGGAGGCAGCAGUGGGGAAUAUUGCACAAUGGGCGGAAGCCUGAUGCAGCAACGCCGCGUGCGGGAUGACGGCCUUCGGGUUGUAAACCGCUAUCGCCGGUGACGAAGCGUGGGUGACGGUAAUGGGUAAAGAAGCACCGGCUAACUACGUG